rnacentral:rRNA from 1 species
UACAGAGGUCCCCGAGCGUUGUUCGGAUUCACUGGGCGUAAAGGGUGCGUAGGUGGUUGGGUAAGUUUGAGGUGAAAGCUCCGGGCUCAACCCGGAAAUUGCCUCGAAGACUAUCUAACUAGAGGAUUGGAGGGGAGACUGGAAUUCUCGGUGUAGCAGUGAAAUGCGUAGAUAUCGAGAGGAACACCAGUGGCGAAGGCGAGUCUCUGGACAAUUCCUGACACUGAGGCACGAAAGCCAAGGGAGCAAACGGGAUUAGAUACCCGUGUAGU